AGCGAACGCUGGCGGCAUGCUUAACACAUGCAAGUCGCACGGGCGGGGGCAACUCCGUCAGUGGCGGACGGGUGAGUAACGCGUAGGAAUCUAUCCUUGAAUGGGGGACAACCGUGGGAAACUACGGCUAAUACCGCAUGAUGCCUGAGGGCCAAAGACGAAAGUCGUUUGAGGAGGAGCCUGCGUCUGGAUUAGGUAGUUGGUGGGGUAAAGGCCUACCAAGCCUGCGAUCAGUAGCUGGUCUGAGAGGAUGAUCAGCCACAUUGGGACUGAGACACGGCCCAAACUCCUACGGGAGGCAGCAGUGGGGAAUAUUGGACAAUGGGCGAAAGCCUGAUCCAGCAAUGCCGCGUGUGUGAAGAAGGUCUUCGGAUUGUAAAGCACUUUUGGCAGGGACGAUGAUGACGGUACCUGCAGAAUAAGCCCCGGCUAACUUCGUG
rnacentral:rRNA from 1 species